UACGAGGGGGGCAAGCGUUGUCCGGAUUUAUUGGGCGUAAAGAGCGUGUAGGCGGCCAAGCAGGUCAGCUGUGAAAACUCGAGGCUCAACCUCGAGACGUCGGUUGAAACCGCUUGGCUAGAGUCCGGAAGAGGAGAGUGGAAUUCCCGGUGUAGCGGUGAAAUGCGCAGAUAUCGGGAAGAACACCCGUGGCGAAGGCGGCUCUCUGGGACGGUACUGACGCUGAGACGCGAAAGCGUGGGGAGCGAACAGG
rnacentral:rRNA from 1 species